rnacentral:rRNA from 1 species
AACGAACGCUGGCGGCAGGCUUAACACAUGCAAGUCGAACGGUUGUAGCAAUACAGCAGUGGCAGACGGGUGAGUAACACGUGGGAACCUUCCUAGAGGUACGGAACAACGCAGGGAAACUUGCGCUAAUACCGUAUACGCUCGUGAGAGGAAAGAUUUAUCGCCUUUAGACGGGCCCGCGUCGGAUUAGGUAGUUGGUGGGGUAACGGCCUACCAAGCCGACGAUCCGUAGCUGAUCUGAGAGGAUGAUCAGCCACACUGGGACUGAGACACGGCCCAGACUCCUACGGGAGGCAGCAGUGGGGAAUCUUGGACAAUGGGCGCAAGCCUGAUCCAGCCAUGCCGCGUGAGUGAAGAAGGCCUUAGGGUUGUAAAGCUCUUUUGCCAGGGACGAUAAUGACGGUACCUGGAGAAUAAGCCCCGGCAAACUUCGUGCCAGCAGCCGCCGUAACAC